CUGGGGGUGCUCAGACAUGCAGUCGAACGCGAAAGUCCCCUUCGGGGGAUAAGUAGAGUGGCGCACGGGUGAGUAACACGUAGGUAAUCUACCUUCGGGUGGGGAAUAACCCAGGGAAACUUGGGCUAAUACCGAUAAUGCAGCGGACCACAUGGUGACAGUUGUUAAAGCGGGGGAUCUUCGGAUCUCGCGCCUGAAGAGGAGCCUGCGGCAGAUUAGCUAGUUGGUAAGGUAACGGGUUACCAAGGCGACGAUCUGUAGCCGGCUGAGAGGGCGGUCGGCACACUGACACUGACAUACGGGUCAGACUCCUACGGGAGGCAGCAGUCGGGAAUUUUGGGCAAUGGGCGAAAGCCUGACCCAGCAACGCCGCGUGAAGGAUGAAAUCCCUCGGGAUGUAAACUUCGCAAGAAUGGGAAGAAUUAGUAGGGGUUAAUACCCUCUAUGAUGACGGUACCAUUUGUAAGCUCCGGCUAACUCCGUGCCAGCAGCCGCGGUAAUACGGGGGGAGCAAGCGUUGUUCGGAUUUACUGGGCGUAAAGGGGCGCGUAGGCGGUCAGCACAAGUCAGUUGUGA
rnacentral:rRNA from 1 species